UGCCCCUUCGUCCAACGGCAGGACAUCGCACUUUGGAUGCGAGAAUGGUGGUUCGAAUCCACCAGGGGCAA
rnacentral:tRNA from 1 species